GGGUUGUGAGGUUAAGCGACUAAGCGUACACGGUGGAUGCCCUGGCAGUCAGAGGCGAUGAAGGACGUGCUAAUCUGCGAAAAGCGUCGGUAAGGUGAUAUGAACCGUUAUAGCCGGCGAUGUCCGAAUGGGGAAACCCAGUGUGAUUCGUCACACUAUCGUUAACUGAAUACAUAGGUUAACGAGGCGAACCGGGGGAACUGAAACAUCUAAGUACCCCGAGGAAAAGAAAUCAACCGAGAUUCCCCCAGUAGCGGCGAGCGAACGGGGAGCAGCCCAGAGUCUGAAUCAGCUUGUGUGUUAGUGGAACGGUCUGGAAAGUCCGACGGUACAGGGUGAUAGUCCCGUACACCAAAAUGCACAGGCUGUGAACUCGAAGAGUAGGGCGGGACACGUGGUAUCCUGUCUGAAUAUGGGGGGACCAUCCUCCAAGGCUAAAUACUCCUGACUGACCGAUAGUGAACCAGUACCGUGAGGGAAAGGCGAAAAGAACCCCGGCGAGGGGAGUGAAAAAGAACCUGAAACCGUGUACGUACAAGCAGUGGGAGCACCUUCGGGUGUGACUGCGUACCUUUUGUAUAAUGGGUCAGCGACUUAUAUUCUGUAGCAAGGUUAACCGUAUAGGGGAGCCGCAGGGAAACCGAGUCUUAACUGGGCGUUAAGUUGCAGGGUAUAGACCCGAAACCCGGUGAUCUAGCCAUGGGCAGGUUGAAGGUUGGGUAACACUAACUGGAGGACCGAACCGACUAAUGUUGAAAAAUUAGCGGAUGACUUGUGGCUGGGGGUGAAAGGCCAAUCAAACCGGGAGAUAGCUGGUUCUCCCCGAAAGCUAUUUAGGUAGCGCCUCGUGAACUCAUCUUCGGGGGUAGAGCACUGUUUCGGCUAGGGGGUCAUCCCGACUUACCAACCCGAUGCAAACUACGAAUACCGAAGAAUGUUAUCACGGGAGACACACGGCGGGUGCUAACGUCCGUCGUGAAGAGGGAAACAACCCAGACCGCCAGCUAAGGUCCCAAAGUCAUGGUUAAGUGGGAAACGAUGUGGGAAGGCACAGACAGCCAGGAUGUUGGCUUAGAAGCAGCCAUCAUUUAAAGAAAGCGUAAUAGCUCACUGGUCGAGUCGGCCUGCGCGGAAGAUGUAACGGGGCUAAACCAUGCACCGAAGCUGCGGCAGCGACACUAUGUGUUGUUGGGUAGGGGAGCGUUCUGUAAGCCUGCGAAGGUGUGCUGUGAGGCAUGCUGGAGGUAUCAGAAGUGCGAAUGCUGACAUAAGUAACGAUAAAGCGGGUGAAAAGCCCGCUCGCCGGAAGACCAAGGGUUCCUGUCCAACGUUAAUCGGGGCAGGGUGAGUCGACCCCUAAGGCGAGGCCGAAAGGCGUAGUCGAUGGGAAACAGGUUAAUAUUCCUGUACUUGGUGUUACUGCGAAGGGGGGACGGAGAAGGCUAUGUUAGCCGGGCGACGGUUGUCCCGGUUUAAGCAUGUAGGCUGGUUGUCCAGGCAAAUCCGGAUAAUCAAGGCUGAGGUGUGAUGACGAGGCACUACGGUGCUGAAGUAACAAAUGCCCUGCUUCCAGGAAAAGCCUCUAAGCAUCAGGUAACAUUAAAUCGUACCCCAAACCGACACAGGUGGUCAGGUAGAGAAUACCAAGGCGCUUGAGAGAACUCGGGUGAAGGAACUAGGCAAAAUGGUGCCGUAACUUCGGGAGAAGGCACGCUGGUGUGUAGGUGAAGUCCCUGCGGAUGGAGCUGAGACCAGUCGAAGAUACCAGCUGGCUGCAACUGUUUAUUAAAAACACAGCACUGUGCAAACACGAAAGUGGACGUAUACGGUGUGACGCCUGCCCGGUGCCGGAAGGUUAAUUGAUGGGGUUAUCCGUAAGGAGAAGCUCUUGAUCGAAGCCCCGGUAAACGGCGGCCGUAACUAUAACGGUCCUAAGGUAGCGAAAUUCCUUGUCGGGUAAGUUCCGACCUGCACGAAUGGCGUAAUGAUGGCCAGGCUGUCUCCACCCGAGACUCAGUGAAAUUGAACUCGCUGUGAAGAUGCAGUGUACCCGCGGCAAGACGGAAAGACCCCGUGAACCUUUACUAUAGCUUGACACUGAACAUUGAGCCUUGAUGUGUAGGAUAGGUGGGAGGCUUUGAAGCGUGGACGCCAGUCUGCGUGGAGCCAACCUUGAAAUACCACCCUUUAAUGUUUGAUGUUCUAACGUUGGCCCCUGACCGGGGUUGCGGACAGUGUCUGGUGGGUAGUUUGACUGGGGCGGUCUCCUCCCAAAGCGUAACGGAGGAGCACGAAGGUUAGCUAAUCCUGGUCGGACAUCAGGAGGUUAGUGCAAUGGCAUAAGCUAGCUUGACUGCGAGCGUGACGGCGCGAGCAGGUGCGAAAGCAGGUCAUAGUGAUCCGGUGGUUCUGAAUGGAAGGGCCAUCGCUCAACGGAUAAAAGGUACUCCGGGGAUAACAGGCUGAUACCGCCCAAGAGUUCAUAUCGACGGCGGUGUUUGGCACCUCGAUGUCGGCUCAUCACAUCCUGGGGCUGAAGUAGGUCCCAAGGGUAUGGCUGUUCGCCAUUUAAAGUGGUACGCGAGCUGGGUUUAGAACGUCGUGAGACAGUUCGGUCCCUAUCUGCCGUGGGCGCUGGAGAAUUGAGGGGGGCUGCUCCUAGUACGAGAGGACCGGAGUGGACGCAUCACUGGUGUUCGGGUUGUCAUGCCAAUGGCACUGCCCGGUAGCUAAAUGCGGAAGAGAUAAGUGCUGAAAGCAUCUAAGCACGAAACUUGCCCCGAGAUGAGUUCUCCCUGAGACUUUAAGUCUCCUGAAGGAACGUUAAAGACGAUGACGUUGAUAGGCCGGGUGUGUAAGCGCAGCGAUGCGUUGAGCUAACCGGUACUAAUGAACCGUGAGGCUUAACCUUACAACGCCGAAG
rnacentral:rRNA from 2 species